rnacentral:rRNA from 1 species
GUCUUUUAAUUGAGGUCUGGAAUGAAUGGUUGGAUGAAAAAUAUACUUUCUUUUUUUUAUAUAUAAAAUUUAAUUUUUUAGUUAAAAAGCUAAAGUUUAAUUAUAGGACGAGAAGACCCUAUAGAGCUUUAUUUUUGAUUUUAUAUAUUUAUUAUAGAAUUUAUAUAAAUUAUAUAAAAAUUAAAUUUUGUUGGGGUGACAGAAAAAAAUCAAUAACUUUUUCUAUUUUUUUCAUUAUAAAUGAAUAUUUGAUCCUUUUUUAUGGAUAAAAGAUUUAGUUACCUUAGGGAUAACAGCGUUAUUAUUUUAGAGAGUUCUUAUCGAUAAAAUAGUUUGCGACCUCGAUGUUGGAUUAUAAUAAGAUAUAGGAGUAGAAUAUUAUAUUCUAGGUCUGUUCGACCUUUAAAUUUUUACA